rnacentral:tRNA from 1 species
GGGCGAGUGGUGGAACGGUAGACACGCACGGUUCAGAGCCGUGUGGGAGCAAUCCCAUGAGGGUUCAAGUCCCUCCUCGCCCA